rnacentral:rRNA from 1 species
AUGAUCAUCGUCGCCCAUGAGCCUGGACUCGACCUGGACUUAGUGGCCUUGGUACCAGUGCCUGCUAAAUUGGACAGCGUUGGCAUUACCAUGGACAUGCAGCAGAAUAACUACGAGGAUGGCAAUCCUAUACAACACAAGGACAUUCCCUCAGUACAGCUUGCCACAUCAGUUUCUGAGUGCCCUUCACCUAGUGCUUGGAAAUUCCUUCCCUGCAAAUUUCACAAAGUUGUUGCUCCAUUAGUUUGCCCGCCUCUAUUGCAAUGGAAUGAGAACCGUGUGUGGCCACCUCCCUUUCCUCCUGAUGCAAUGACACUGUGUCUGCACUUGUUAUCAUCUGCUAGUUUUGAGUUAUGCCAAUUUCGGUCGCCACCUGAUCAGUUGUAUGAGCAGAAACACACAUGCAGAUUACUGCGUAUGAGUAGUUGUGUUUUGUUUGAGCAGACCAACAAUAGCAAAGUUAUAAUCCAUGCUCGUGCAACAAGUGAAGGCAAUCAAUUGAAGCAUUUUGGUCAUUUGGGUUCAAUUGGAUGGAUGGUGUGCUACCAGGAAACAAGGGUGCUAUAUUCUUUUUAUAAUCAGUGUGGUUUUGCCUACGGACUUGUGAAAAAUGCAUGGGUGAACUCUUGGCUAGAGAUUUUGCUAUUGCGAGAUGACUGGCGACCACCUUGGCCAUUGUCAGAGUUGGUGAAAUUGUGUAUACUUGGUAUACACUGUAUGCAGGCUACCAAGGCACAUUAUGAAGCAUUUCCUUGUUUAGAACAACUUAUCACUAGAAUUUUUCUGAAUGUGUUGGUCACCUGUCCAGACAUGAAAAUUCUUCCAAUCGGUUGUGUUUCCAGUUCUCUAACAGCUGAAUUUAUGGAGGAGGGAAAUCAGUGGGCACUUUGUUCCUGUGAAAUAUAUCUAGGGCAGUACUACAGCUGCAGAAGCAUCAUAUCUGUAGAUGCUUUGAAACUUCACCUAGUGGGAGUUCUUUUUCCUUGUAUACCAGUAGUCAAACCUGACAGUAAUGGAAUGCUCAGAUCUCGUCCAUAUACAAUGCCAAGUUUUUCCCAUAAGAUGCUUAAGAGGUACAAUUCCUGCUCUACAUGGAAUUCUUUUGGAGUUGAGUUGCAGUGUGGUCUGCUGAGGACUACAACACCAUUGACAUGCAAUUAUUCUACUAAGGUUGGGUAUAAUGCUGGCAUGAUACUGAAGGGAAAUUGCUCUUGUCUUGUAGUGGUAUUCACUUGGACUUCUUAG